UCCCUGCUGGCUCAGUGGUAAAGAAUCUGUCUGCAAUGCAGGAGAUGCAGGUUCGAUCCUUGGGUUGGGAA
rnacentral:tRNA from 1 species